rnacentral:lncRNA from 1 species
AAUAACUAAGGCAACAUGGGUUUGGAGGCUUAUUUAUAUAUGGAGUUGCAGAUUGUAGACCUAAUGGUGUGUUCUGCUACAUACUUUUCCGUGAGUAUCUCUAUGUCCCUAAAUUCAAUUUCACUUUCUACCUUUGAGAAUAAUUUUUAGAGAUUUCCAAAAUUACAAAAUGUGAGCAUAUGAAUUAUUCUGUCAUCACCUCUUACAUCUCUCAAUUUUUAGAGAUUUCCCAAAUUACAAAAUCUGAGCAUGAAUUGUACUACCAUCACUUCUUUUUCUUUCAUGAGGUAAUAUUAUUUGAGAGACUAAUUUUAGAUGUCAACAGUUUGUCUUCCUCCGAGAGGAGUUUGGGUUUCUUUACGAUAAACAUGCAAUUAUCCCAUGAUGACUCGUAUAUAUUAAACAGCCAUUUAACUGACAUAUAAGACUCAGAAGAAUGGUAAAGUUGGAAGAGGCACUAAAAUUCAUUUAGAACAGCCCAAUCUUGUCAUUUUACAAACGCAGAAGCAAAGCCACAAAUUGAUUACGUUUGUCCCGAGUUCUACAACCAGUCAGUGGCAGAAUCAGACAUUUCAGUAGCUUUAGCGUGAUGUUACAUUUCAAUUUAUGAAAGAUGGAAAUUUAAUUUUAUAAUUAUGCAAGGUUUACAGCAACAUAGCAUGUAUGUUGACAACUGGUAGGAAAUGGACAUUUAUGAAUUAUGAAUGUUUCUAUUAUGAAGGGCAAUUAUUACCUUAAGUAGUAGCUGGUAAUGAACACUGAAUGCCUACUAUGUGCUUUACAUACACCACCUCAUUUCAAGUCCCCAAUAAAGCCAUAAAGUUGAUAUUACAAUCUAUAAAGUAUAAGGUCAGUACUUCAUAUGUGAAGAAACAGAGGCUUAGAGAGAUUAUACACAACCUGCUAAGGCCACACAGCUAGUAUGUACAGCUGGGCAUAGAGCCAGGCCCUUGUUCUUUUUCCCAGGAUGCAAUCUGCACUGCCUGUGGGUGUCAAC